rnacentral:rRNA from 1 species
GACGAACGCUGGCGGCGUGCUUAACACAUGCAAGUCGAACGGUGAACCUCUUCGGAGGGGAUCAGUUGCGAACGGGUGAGUAACACGUGGGCAACCUGCCCCCGGCUCUGGGAUAACUCCAAGAAAUUGGGGCUAAUACCGGAUGUUCACCGCUUCCCGCAUGGGUGGGGGUGGGAAGGGUUUCCGGCUGGGGAUGGGCCCGCGGCCUAUCAGCUUGUUGGUGGGGUAGUGGCCUACCAAGGCGACGACGGGUAGCCGGCCUGAGAGGGUGACCGGCCACACUGGGACUGAGACACGGCCCAGACUCCUACGGGAGGCAGCAGUGGGGAAUAUUGCGCAAUGGGCGGAAGCCUGACGCAGCGACGCCGCGUGGGGGAUGACGGCCUUCGGGUUGUAAACCUCUUUCAGCAGGGACGAAGCGCAAGUGACGGUACCUGCAGAAGAAGCACCGGCCAACUACGUG